rnacentral:pre_miRNA from 1 species
GGGCCACCGUCGGACAUCUUACUGGGCAGCAUUGGAUGGUGUCUGGUCUCUAAUACUGCCUGGUAAUGAUGACGGCGGGGCCCUGCACG